rnacentral:rRNA from 1 species
UACAGAGGGUGCAAGCGUUAAUCGGAAUUACUGGGCGUAAAGCGUGCGUAGACGGUUACAUAAGUCGGGUGUGAAAGCCCCGGGCUCAACCUGGGAAUUGCAUUCGAGACUGCGUAGCUAGGGUGCGGAAGAGGGAAGCGGAAUUUCCGGUGUAGAGGUGAAAUUCGUAGAUAUCGGGAGGAACACCAGUGGCGAAGGCGGCGACCUGGGCCAGUACUGACGCUGAGGAGCGAAAGCGUGGGGAGCAAACAGG